UACGGAGGGUGCAAGCGUUAAUCGGAAUUACUGGGCGUAAAGCGUGCGUAGGUGGUUUAUUAAGUUAUCUGUAAAAUACCUGGGCUCAACCUAGGAGUGCCAGAUAAGACUGAUAGACUAGAGUAGUGGAGAGGGUAGUGGAAUUUCCGGUGUAGCGGUGAAAUGCGUAGAGAUCGGAAGGAACACCGGUGGCGAAGGCGGCUACCUGGCCUAAUACUGACACUGAGGUACGAAAGCGUGGGGAGCAAACAGG
rnacentral:rRNA from 1 species